rnacentral:lncRNA from 1 species
ACACUCGAACAUUCAUCACAUAACUCGUUAUGUCCCAACAAUAUACCACAAUGCAUAUCAUGCAAUAUUUCAAAGAACAAACGACGAAGCACAAUCAUACUCUCUAGCCAUAUUUAUCGACAAGUCUAAUCAUAACAAUAACAAUGAUAUCCAACAAAAGCCAUAAUUCAGUUCUCAUCCAAGUGAUCCAAUGAUGUACGCAUUCAACAAGAGUAAUCAACCAUGAGAUAAAUAAUAUAACAUUCCAUGAUGUUAAAUAUAAUCAAUCUCCAUAACAGUAUGUCAUAUUUCCCCUACCUGGAUUCCUAAGCAUUGUUCUUAGUUACUAAUACCCAUCGUGGCCAAAUUCUGUUUCACAAAUGUAAGAUAUUACUAAAUGCAUGACAUGAAUUUUAAUCCUAGUUAAAGUACUUCGAAUUACUAUUGUAACAGUAUCCAAAUUCAAUGCCCUUUUGGUUGAUCUAAAAUAAAUCAUUGUAAAUACACAUGAAUAGGAAUAAUUCUGGACCAUUAGUAAUGAUGUGUUUCAGUAGGUAUAAAAAUGCACCAACAACAAUAAAAUGCACCAAAACAAUAAAAUAAUUGAGCUUAUAAUUAUAUCAUAGCUUUACUUAAAUUUAUCUUAUCAGCCAAGGGAUGGAAUCAUAUAGUGCACACCUAUAUAAUAUACAUUGUUUCUGACUUUAAAGAAAUACUUU